GGGGAAUUAGCUCAAGUGGUAGCGCGUUCGCUUAGCAUGUGAGAGGCAGCGGGAUCAAUGCCCGCAUUCUCCA
rnacentral:tRNA from 1 species